CUAAAACCAACAGUUUCUGAAAAUUCACCUGAAGUCUGGCGUAUCAGGAGCGGGAGGGAGGACUCACUCUCCUUGUUAUGAAAACAUCAAUUACAACUUAUUUUCAUUGCCCAGUUUCCCCCCCCCCCCUCACCUCUCCUUCCCACCCCAUCCCGGGCAGCCCUAAUCAAUCACCGGACUGACUGACUCUACCGUAACAUAUUCUGGUUCCAUAUACGAACCCGUGGCGCGGUUGAAAUUAAACAGCCGAUUUAAUUUCUUAAACUAUUUAUUUUGACGCCUGCCAUUAGGCGAGCCGAUGUUCCGGCGGAUUGGCAAAUGCAUAGCAGCACCGUUUAAACCAAUAUUUCUUAAACACCGCUUUGAUAUUUUUCGAUGGACUUUCACCUCUCUCACCUUCCUCAAAUACAGGAGGUCAGAUCUUCCCUCAAAAGUUUGCAAAGUUAAUAACUACAGCGAUCUGCGUUCCUGGUUAAGUGACAAAUACUAUGAAUUCAUCAGUAGCGAUAUUUUUAAAGUUUUUACAUCGCUCUCAGAUCGCAGCCACUUGAAGUUGCAAAGGGAUUCAAUGGCAAAAGAGUGAAUUAGUGCCUCCCAGACGAAACCCAAAAGUGUGUCGAUCACCGAGAAAGUUCGUUUUGGCACCUCGACAGGGCUCAUUGGCACUCAAUAGCUGAUUGAUUUUGUAUCUUUUGUACCAUUUUUGACCGAGCACAUUUUCUUUCUGUUUUGUUUCCAUACAGUGGCAGUCACUGUGUAUAGAAUUUUGUUUGAAGAACUUUGAUGUGUUCAGUGAAAAAGACAAUCACCUGUCGAUGUUCCCGAUUAAAACUGGGCGAGGAACCGCAUUUCAGAUAGCGUGGAGUUUCAGCCCCCCCUCCCCUUUCACUAAACAACACACACGCACAUAAAGCCCCAUUUUGCUUUCAUCUUGGCAAGCCUCUUUCAAAAAAAAAUCACUGGACAAUAUCAAAGUAACUUUCGCAGACAACACGCGGGGCGGGGUGACUCGAGAAGUUAUUAUAAGUUUUCACAUAACUCCUACCGUGGUCUUGUUGCCCACUCCAUAUAGGCUGCUCGUGAAAACGAUCACAUAGUGGAGAUGCUUGUUUUGUUUUACAACAAUAAUGACAACAACGGCUAUUUUAUAUUAGCCACUACUUCUGUUGCCUAAUUUAACUUUGGGGAACUUUCCCUAUAAAAGGAUAUUUUAAUAGUGAACUUCAGCAUUGCCACUGGAAUGAAACGUAAAGUCUCCCUUCGCCUCCAUGACAAACCCAAGCAACGCUGUUAAAAAUAUUUGUUGUUUGUUAACACAGAGGACACCCCAAUAGUCAACAUAUCGUUGCUAAGGGACUCUUAUUGGUUUGUUUUGUCUCGAGGCACGUUCUAUACAGGCAAAAUAGAACUGAACACUCUCUUCCCCACGUUGAGUUUUAUUAGAUUACUUCGCACAUGGUGUUCAUCAAGUAAGAUAACUUUUUCAAUGUGAUUGUGUUCAUCCACGAACCCCCCCCCCAUCGGACCCGCGAGCUGUGGGUUUUGAUGACUUAUUGUUAACAUCCCGAUGUUAACUUAUUGUUAACACCCCAAUUUUCCAAACAGAAACUUUUCAAUUGAAACACAACGGCCAUUUUACACCACUGAAAGAUCGAUAAGACACAUGUAAAAUUAUAAGGGGCAACCGCGAUUAUUGCCAUUCGAGGAUGCUUACAAAAUAACUUAAUUUUAACCCUAUGAGUGCACAGUAACAAGAGGAUCCGUGCGAGGUCUCUCGCUUUUAUGCAGAGAUUUCAGAAGAGUUAAAACUGUAAAUGCACCGCAUGAUUAAAUCCAUCCAUCUACGGGCAAAAAUCACCCUCCCAGAACAAUUAAUAUCAAAUAAUGAAGUGUUUUUGUGACGUUCCAACGAUGGAAAAGGUGAUUUUUUUUGUUGUUGUCUAUCUUUAGUUCUACACAACAAAACAUACUACAUACCGUAAUGAAACAAGCCUCACAACUCAGCGAGUUCAUUUAAGGUUACCCUUACAAUCGACACAUAGAUAAUAUCAACUUCCGCGAAAAUGAGCAGUUAUAAUCUGAUAACCACUAACAUUUCACACCGAAAAUUUAGGUGGGUGAGUAUCUGUAGAUGAAAUGUGCGUAUAUAAUAUGGAGAUUGAUAGAGGGACGCCAACAAAGUGAUGUUGCCAUGGCCGGACAACGAUAGGCUGAUAGAAUUGGUGGAGAGACAGAUAAUGUUAGAAUAAUGUACUUUUCCGAUUGAAUUUUAUAGUUAGAAAACUAUAACCUGCAAAAAUAACGACAGACCUCCUGAAACAGCCGGAUAACUUCGCUCAGCUCAGCACUGGACUGAUUCCACAAACCAGGGACUCACUUUCAAGGGCUCUACAACUCAAGUUCUCAAAAAUAUUUAUUUAUUUAUUAUUAGUUUUUUUGGGGGGGAUUUGCACUGUUUUUCUUUUGCACGCUAGUUGUUUGCCAGUCUUGUCUGUAGUUUUUUUUUCAUGGAUUCUAUUGUGAAUGCCUGCAAGAAAAUGAACCUCGGGGUGGUAUAUACGUACUUUGAUGAUAAAUUUACUUAGAAUUUUGAACUUUUGGUGUCUGGGACCACCUAACGUAGCCGAGAGUUGUUUGGAAAUUGUAAAGCGCCCGCGGUUUCCAUUAAAAGGUAAAAUUGGAAAGGUCUGGGCAUCACAAGACCAUAUUAUUAAAUAAAGUAAGAUAGGGUAGUCCACUGGAGUUUGAAACCUAUUGACCAAGAAUCCAGGCAACCGCUUUGUACGGGCGUGUGAACAAUCUCCUCCAGCACGUACUGUUUAGAGUUAAGUAAGAGUACAUCCAUCGUAGCUCACUAACGAUCUGGCAGUCUCCUGAAGGGGGAUGUCAAGAGAGACUCAAAGGCAUGAUGCUUAAGUGAAGGAAACCUGUGCUCUCUGGCCCAGGAAGGAGGGGCCUGGUUUGCCCAAAGUACACAGACUUGCGGCCGAGAGCUGGGACUCUGUGUUUGGGUAAAGCUUGAAGACAAUGCCUGGCCCCCAAAGUCCACCUCGAAGCCAGCCCUAGCCAUGGUAACCACUGUAUUCAUUAGUCCAUGGUAGCGCUGGAGGUAUGUGCAUAAUUGCACUAGCUCUUUCUCUCGCAUUGGCAGACUAUUUUCAAACAGCAUAGAUGUUGCUUUUUUUUGCUCUCGUGUGACAUAUUUACACCCAAGAUUUUUAUUUGUCCCACUUGUUUAUGGCCGCCCAGCUCAAUCCGGGUCGGGGAUGCCUCCAUCUUCUAAAUACACAUAGUUAGACCGCGACCCAAAUCAAUUUCAGCACCUCCUACUUUACAAACACAAAGAAACAAAAAGCGCACAUCUUAAGCAAUAUGACGAAACAUUCGCUUAAAGGAGAGCUGGUAACGAAAAAUGUUGUUUUUGUUUAGUUUGACGGACAUUCGUUUCACUCAGCUUUCAGACAAAAUGCAUACAUUGUUCAACAGGUGGUAAACGAAAUUACAUAGUUCUUUUUAUUUCGAAAAAUAACUUUUUUAAAAAAAACAAUGUAAGCUUUUUUUUGCCCUUAAAUUAACGAAGCGGCGAUUUCACACUUUAAAAAUGUUUUACGGGACAAAUGCGUUAGAGUUCAAAAUUCUGUUAAAUAUCUGGACAUCAAAUUGAGGGAGGAUAAAGCUAAAAUAUUGCGCGAGUUAUGAAAGCAUCUGUUAAAUCUUGUAAUUCCAGUGUUAAACUAACUUAAAUCACAUUUUAAUGCUGUUUACGUUGUAGCUACAUGUUGGUAUGUAUCUAUUUAUGCGCAUUUUCUUCCAUAUCUAUACUUCGAACUUUCUUUUCGUGUAAUUCUCUGCUCUGCAUAAUCGUUGAAUGUUGCCAACACGCCUCAUCAAUUUCCCAGUACAUGUAAAAGUAUAUGGCAAAUAAGGUUGAUCCUUGAAAAGCGAAGAGCAAGAAUUAUGUGACAAUACCGUUGGAAGGUUUCCUGUUUCUCGUUGGAUGGGGAUUUUGCUAUUAGAAAUCGCACUUAGUUUUAAACAGAGCCUUUGGGUAUAGUAUACUUAACAUUCCAGUUUCCUGCUCAAGUCGCCCCAUUUCUGAGAAAAAUAGCGAGGGCUUUAAAAGGGAACGUGUCCUUAUUUCUUAAGCUAGUAUUUGGACAGCGGUCAAUGAAACCGUAGCCACAAAGUUUUCCAGAACUUUAAGCUAUCCAUAGAAUGUUAGGUUUAUGAAUUUAAGUUAAUCUAUUGAAGACGUAUCUCACUGAUUUGAUUUCAGCGCAAUAGCCUAAACCAAAUCAUUAUUUUUUGGACUUGAUGAUUAUGUGAAACUUUUAACAGAUCAUAACAUAGUUCAACACAGAAGAUGACUAUUCUGUUUUUUUUUUAUCUUCUACAGGUUUCAGCAACCUAAAUGGAAUUACCGACGUUGAUUUUUCUGUCCUUUUACAAAUACUUAUCCAAGAUCAUUUGGCAGAAUGCUUGUGAUAGAACAGUCCUCUGUGGAAAUGUUACAUCCACAUUCAUUGUUUCAGAGAUAAGAUUAAGACUGCAUCUCUUUGUCACCGAGUCAUUAGCCUGUGAAUCCCAUCAUUCACUAUUUCCUCUCCCAUAAGAACAUAGAAUUUAGAUCAUUACAGCACAAGUACAGGUCCUUUAGCUCACAAUGUUUGUGCUGACCACAACACCAAUUUAAAUGAAUCCUACUUGCCUGUGUAUAAUCCAUAUCCCCUCAUUCCCUGCCAGUCCAUGUACAUGUCUACAUGCCUCUUAAACACUGUGUGGUGCCUGCUUCUAUCAGUUGCUGUGGGAGUGCAUUGUGGGCACCUACCACUUUCUGUGUAAAAAAAACUUCGCCUUGCAAAUCUUACCCCAUUUCACCUUAAAACUAUGCCUUCUAAUGUUUGACAUUUUUGCUCUAGGAAAAAAAGACUGACUGUCUAUGUUAUCUAUGUCUCUCAUAACUUUAUGCUUCUAUCAGGUUACCCCUCGGUCUCCAGUGAAAAUUAUCCAAGUUUGUCCAGCCUCUGGAUGUAGCUAAUGCUCCACAAUCCAGGCAAUAUCUUGGUGAGCCUCAUCUGCACCCUUUCCAAAGCCUCCACAUUCCUCCUGUAGCAACAAACGUUGUGCUGGAGGAACUCAAGAGGAUCAAGCAGCAGCUGUAGGGGGAAUCCUGUAUCAGGACCUUAUGCAAUGUGGCAACCAGAACUAUAAGCAACAUUCCAAAUGUGGCUGAAUCAAAGCUUUGUGCAGGUGCAACAUGACUUGCUAACUCAUAAGCAACGACCCAACCAAUGGAAGCAAUCCUGCUGAAGGGUCUCGGCUCAAAACGUGGAGCCGUGGUCUCUACUCCAAAGAUUGCUGCCUGGCCUGCUGAGUUCCUCCAGCAUUUUGAUUAUGAAAAAUAUUCUCUUAUACGCUUUCUCCUUGCACUGUUUCUUUAUUGAGACAUUAUCUGUAAAAUCAUGCACCCUUGUUAGUAACAAGCCUCUUUAAUAAAUAACUUCUGCAAGUACUU